rnacentral:rRNA from 1 species
CCUACGGGAGACAGCAGUGAGGAAUAUUGGUCAAUGGGCGCGAGCCUGAACCAGCCAAGUAGCGUGAAGGAUGACUGCCCUACGGGUUGUAAACUUCUUUUAUAAAGGAAUAAAGUGAGGCACGUGUGCCUCUUUGUAUGUACUUUAUGAAUAAGGAUCGGCUAACUCCGUGCCAGCAGCCGCGGUAAUACGGAGGAUCCGCGCGUUAUCCGGAUUUAGUGGGUUUAAAGGGAGCGUAGAUGGGUUGUUAAGUCAGUUGUGAAAGUUUGCGGCUCAACCGUGAAAUUGCAAUUGAUACUGGCAGUCUUGAGUGCAGUAGAGGUAGGCGGAAUUCGUGGUGUAGCAGUGAAAUGCUUAGAUAUCACGAAGAACUCCGAUUGCGAAGGCAGCUUACUGAACUGCAACUGACAUUGAGGCUCGAAAGUGUGGGUAUCAAACAGGAUUAGAUACCCGGGUAGUC